ACGCUAAUCCUCCCAGGGGAACCUGGCCCUUAAUUCGCUAAUCCACGAAAUUCUUACCCUCCCUUGCUUUCCCUUUAGUUUACAAAGGGAAUUUCAGCUUUCAUACCGCCGUUUUUUAGUCUGUAUCGUGAGAGGAAAAAAACUAGCGUCGCAGCAAGCAACUCAUUUUGAGUGGCGUCACUUCCAAUUCAGGUACAAGUGUAGCCUAUGGGAGGGGGGUGCUGGGUUACAAUUGAGGUUUAAAGUGGCGUGACUACCUUAAGGGUUAGACAAAAGAGGACUUGGAAGUAAUGUCUUUGGAUAAUGAAGACGUGAAUAGACGCUCUAGUGUGUGU
rnacentral:rRNA from 2 species